GACGAACGCUGGCGGCGUGCCUAAUACAUGCAAGUCGAGCGGACUUUCAAGAAGCUUGCUUUUUGAAAGUUAGCGGCGGACGGGUGAGUAACACGUGGGCAACCUGCCUGCAAGACGGGGAUAACUCCGGGAAACCGGGGCUAAUACCGGAUAAUAUCUUCCUUCGCAUGAAGGAAGGUUGAAAGGCGGCGCAAGCUGCCGCUUGCAGAUGGGCCCGCGGCGCAUUAGCUAGUUGGUGAGGUAACGGCUCACCAAGGCGACGAUGCGUAGCCGACCUGAGAGGGUGAUCGGCCACACUGGGACUGAGACACGGCCCAGACUCCUACGGGAGGCAGCAGUAGGGAAUCUUCCGCAAUGGACGAAAGUCUGACGGAGCAACGCCGCGUGAGCGAGGAAGGUCUUCGGAUCGUAAAGCUCUGUUGUCAGGGAAGAACAAGUACCGUUCGAACAGGGCGGUACCUUGACGGUACCUGACCAGAAAGCCACGGCUAACUACGUG
rnacentral:rRNA from 1 species